GACGAACGCUGGCGGCGUGCCUAACACAUGCAAGUCGAACGGAGAUGUUAAGGAAGUUUUACUGAAUUAAUGUCUUAGUGGCGGACGGGUGAGUAACGCGUGGGUGACCUACCCAUAAGAGGGGGAUAACAGUUGGAAACGACUGCUAAUACCGCAUAAGCUGAGUAAUCAGUAAAGGAGGCCUCUGAAAAUGCUUCCGCUUAUGGAUGGGCCCGCGUCUGAUUAGCUGGUUGGUGGGGUAAAGGCCUACCAAGGCGACGAUCAGUAGCCGGCCUGAGAGGGUGAACGGCCACACUGGGACUGAGACACGGCCCAGACUCCUACGGGAGGCAGCAGUGGGGAAUAUUGCGCAAUGGGGGAAACCCUGACGCAGCGACGCCGCGUGAGCGAAGAAGGUUUUCGGAUUGUAAAGCUCUGUCUUCCGGGACGAUAAUGACGGUACCGGAGGAGGAAGCCACGGCUAACUACGUG
rnacentral:rRNA from 1 species